CCAUUUAAUCAAUUCGCACACUUUCACAAUUCAUACACACGAUACGCGAUUCCCAGUUUUCAUUCACUGUUGUGCGUUGCCGGUUUAUGUCGAGCGAGGUAUUUCGCUCCCUGUGAUUGUCACCUCGAUCCUAGAAUAGUUUGUAAAAAUGAGUAAACAUCAUACACAUGAGAUAAGUGAGCAUCCUGAGGUUCAAUGGGCUCUGGAGCUACUUAAGCCAGAUCCCAAUUAUAAGGCCAGUAUACUGCAGGACUAUGCAGUUGAAAUAAUAUGUGUGGGAAGCGGCUUUGGAACGGCAUGUUUAAAAAAUUUUCUUGGCCGCAAACCGUAUUACGCGGGAAUACACUUACAUAUUGUAUCAAUGGCAAUAGGAUAUGUUGCAUCGCAAGCUAUUAAGAAAUACAUUGACACUUAUAAGGCCGAACGUGAUAGUAAAUUAAGGGAUUAUAUCAUACGACAUCCAGAACUCUUUCCUGAACCAGUACGUGUAAAAUAUAGUGAAAUACUUGACGAAUGGCAUCCAAUCCGUUAAGUAAUCACUACAAUAUAGAAGUGACAGCAGCAACUUAAUCGUGUGUUCUCUGAUGUGAACAGACAGUACAGUUCAAUGCAAUGAAUGUAGAUGUAUUGUGUAUUGAGCAAUGUUUAAUGUUAUAGAUGCUUGUGAAUGAUGUUGACUUAUGUAUACACUCUAUAUAGGAAUAACAUAAGUUUACGUACACUGAUUUGUACAUUUGGAAGAUACAAAUUAAUAUUUCAUAAAAUUUUUGCAAUAUUAAAAUAAGUGAGAUG